rnacentral:lncRNA from 1 species
GUCAGCACCAGGGGUUACUGCAUUUGGACUAUAGAAGAAAAUGGAUUCUGCUAAAUGACAGAGCAGUCAGAGCAAUGUGAAAAAAGAGGAGGAAUGCAGAAGCCACGAAGGCCCCCAAACCACAGGCGGAGGAAGCGGAGAUGGAUUCAUGCUUCUCGGAAGACAGACAUAGCUGCCCUCAGCAGAGAGACAUUGUCUGCUUCUGGAAUCGGAUCCUAAUCCCCUGUAUUCAGGGCAGAGUAUUAAGAUGGGUAAACCAGGACUGAAAGUGGUUACUUGUGCCAGUUUGUGCCUCACUCAAUCAAUCAAAGAACAAAACAGCACAGAACUUAUGAUGGCCUGGCUUCCACUUCACUGGUCACACUUUUACCAGAUCACGUCUCAUGCCAAGAGGACCUCAUGCUAACAACCUCAUUGUAUUUGAGAGUAGGACCCAGGGCUCUAGGCUCCAUUAUUGCAGUAGCACUCGAUCGCUUGUAUUCCCUCCUAUUAGUUUAGCAUAUACAAUUAUUUUUA